CCUACGGGGGGCAGCAGUGAGGAAUAUUGGUCAAUGGACGCAAGUCUGAACCAGCCAAGUAGCGUGCAGGAUGACGGCCCUCCGGGUUGUAAACUGCUUUUAGUUGGGAAUAAAAGGGGGCUCGUGAGCCCCGUAUUGUAUGUACCAUAUGAAUAAGGAUCGGCUAACUCCGUGCCAGCAGCCGCGGUAAUACGGAGGAUCCGAGCGUUAUACGGAUUUAUUGGGUUUAAAGGGAGCGUAGGUGGGAUGUUAAGUCAGUUGUGAAAGUUUGCGGCUUAACCGUAAAAUUGCAGUUGAAACUGGCAGUCUUGAGUACAGUAGAGGUGGGCGGAAUUCGUGGUGUAGCGGUGAAAUGCUUAGAUAUCACGAAGAACUCCGAUUGCGAAGGCAGCUCACUGGACUGCAACUGACACUGAUGCUCGAAAGUGUGGGUAUCAAACAGGAUUAGAUACCCCUGUAGUC
rnacentral:rRNA from 1 species